rnacentral:lncRNA from 1 species
CCGAUAGCAGGGACGAAAACCCUAAGAACAGAAACCCACCGUAUCCCAAGGCGAUGGCGAUGUCCGACUGCACGCAGAACGCGUUAUCAUCCGUACACGUCUCCGUCCGCUUCAGUGUCCUGGCCAGCGCCGUCCCCGCUGCAUCCGCCGACAGCAACAGGUACGCGAACACCUACAGGAUCACACCCCUCACAUUUGCUUCAAAAAUUCUAGAGAGUGAGUGAGAGCAGGAAAGAGAGAGAGAGAGAGUUGGCACCUGAUCAUGGCUGAAAUCGAACCAGACCUGUAGGAUUUCUGGAAACACUGUGGCUCCUUUUGAAAUCUCCCAAACAGAGGCGCCCAUUUCGAACAAUGAGUACAGGGCGACUAUGGCAUUUGCAACAACAACGAAUCUGUAAAGAUUUUGGAUUUAUUUUUCUAAUUCAAAAUUCAAUCUAUGCAAAGCAUAAGCCCUAAGGCUCCGGUUGGUCGGCGAGAAAAUUAUAAUAUUUCGUCCUGAGCAUCCAAACAGAGAAUAGAAUUAGGGAAAAACGUACCUGAAAGCGUCAAAAUCGUACCAAUGGGGAGAAUUGGAGCCGCGGGAGUUGGUGAGCAUGAAAACGAAGGCAGCGAGGGAGAAGCAGAAGGAAGCGAGUCGGAAAACGAGGAUCACGGUGUUGAAACGGCGGAGCUUCUGAGCGGAGACGGUGGAGUGGAAGUGGUGAGGAGGGAUUCGAGGAUGGGGAGAUGGAGUUUCGCCGUUGCGGAGGGACUGUGGGGAUCGCAUGGUUGUAGAGAGAGGAAGAGGGCGUGGUGAGAAUGAGAAGUCAUGAGAGAAUAAUCUGGAAGAAAAAAGGGGUGGGAAAACACUUUAUCAGGUGGAAAAAAUGCUUGAUUUUUAAGGGUUUGCGUUUGGUUUCAGGAUUAAAGUCACGGGGAAUGGCGAGAGUUCCAUGAGUUUGAGAGAGAGAAAGAAGAAGGAAAUGAGAAAGAAAGUGAGAAAAGGAAUUGAGAGGGCGAAAGAGAAAAAGAGCAGAGACAGCAGCCAGACAGCAAGCAGGAAGAGUGUGGUAAGUUAAGGUGCCUUUCUCUUUCCCUUUUCUCUCUCUUUCUUUUUUUCUUUUUUUGUCUUUUUUCUUUUUUUCCUUUUUUUAAACAAAAAGUUAUGAGCCUGUUCGUCCUUCCUUCCGUCCCUCCAUCCGUCCUGCAUGCGCCCCGCCCCUCUUCUUUGAUUCGUAUUCUUUAUUUGCUAAAAUCCAUGUUUAUGCAUUUUAUUUCUUAGAAAAAUUAAGUCUCCAAUACACUUUUUUUUCUAAAUAAUUUUUUUUUAUAUACAACUAUAAAUAAAUAUCUUAUUUUUUAAAAUUUAAGAUGAUAUAUUUCUAAAAGAAGUAUUCCAUAAUACUUAAUACUUAAUUAAUUUUAAGGAAUACUUUUAUUUAUUAAAUACUUAUAUAAAAAUAUUACUUUGAAUGUUAAAAGGGACUUUGAUUAGACGUAGACAACACCGAGCUAGUCAGAAAAGAGAUUUGAGAUUAAGAAUAAUUUAAUUAUUUUGUAUUAAUAAUUUAAAUUAUCAUAUUAAAUUAUUUUAAUGAUUUUAAUUAAGUUAUUGAGCCAUUAAAUUAAUUUAUUAUUAAAAAAAUAAUUAAUAAAAUUUAAUACUUAUUAUUUAAUUAAUUAAAUUAAUUUUAAUUUAAAUUAUUUUUCAAGUAAAAUUAACUUAAAAUUAAGAACAUACAAAUUUUCACAUUUAUCCUUAUCAAUUAAUAUUUUAAAUUUCAUUAAUUUUAAACAAUAAAUUUAUUUGAUCAAUAUCAUAUUUAAAGUAUUAUAAAUGCAUCGAAUAAUUAUAAAAAUAUUUCUUAUAAAAAGUAUAUAAAUAUGAAGUUUGUAAAAUAUAUUCUCAUUAAAUAGAGAUGGGAAAUUUAACUUAAUACUUAAAUUUAUUUUUGAUUUUGAUUUUUUAUAUUUAGUUAUUUUAUCAAAUAUAUUUAAUUUAUUUAAUAAUUUAACUUAAUUUAUUAAAUUAUAUUCAAAUCAUUAAAUUGAUUUAUAAAUCAUUCUAUUUUUUUUUAGGUAUUAUUUGACUUUUGAAUAAAUCUAAAUAAAAUUUAAUGUCAUCAACUAUUGUUUGUUUUUAUCAAUAUCGAUAAAUCUUUUUAUUUUUAUACAUUAAAAUAUAAAAUUAAUUAUUCUAUAUAUUUAUUUUAAUUUAAAAAUUAAUUAUUUUUUUUAAAAAUAAUUAGACAUAUUUUCACAUAUCUUAAAAUUUGAGUUAUAUAAUUUGUUUUUAAGAUAGAAGUUAUACAAAAUUUUCAAAAAAAAAAUUGAUUUUGUUUUAUCUAAAAUAUUUCAUUAUUAACAAAUUUAAAGAUUGAAAAAAAAAUUUUCAUUUAAAUAAAAGUAAAAAUUAUCUUUAAAAAAGUAAUAAAUUUAAAAACAAAUAUAUUUAAAAAUAAUUGAAAUUUUAAAACAAAUUACUUUAACACUAAUAUGUAUGUAUAUUUGUUUGUUAGGGGCUAUUUCUACACCUAAAGUGUUGCCCAGUUAAAAUAAUUCAGGAAACAUGAAACAAUUUAUAAGAUAACAAAAAUAUCAAAUAGCUCUCAUUAAAACAUUUAAGAGCAUUUUUAGAAGAAGCAGUUCAAAAUAAAUAAAUAAAUAUAUAUAUAUAUAUAUAUAUAUAUAUAAAGGAAAAAAAAAAGUAAUUUUUACUUGUUUGAUAAGCUGUUUUCAUAAGUAGUUUUAAAAAAUAAUUUUUUUUAAUGAUUUAUAGAUUUAGGAAUUUGGAAUAUUUUUAACUUAUUUUUAAAAUUAAUUUUACGUGUAAUGUUUUAUUUUUAAAAUGAAAAAAAAACAUUUUACCAAAUGUGUUUUUUUUUUUUUGAACAGUUAGGUUUGUUGUUUUUGGAUAUGUAUUGGUUUGGAUUUAGAGUUUUCAAAGAUGGUAGGUGGGCUUAGGUGGAUAGAGUCACCCGCAUUUAUUGGCGCCUGGGAAAGAGAAACGCUUUCACAUUGUAGAAUGAUACUAAGUGUCAGUGGUGGGCUCAGAUUCGGUUCCCUCAACAGGAGCAUCCUCCUCCACCAUUGGUCAGUCCCCCCACCCUUCUCCUCCUCUUUUUACUACAUCUUUCAAAGCUGAAAGCUCCCCUCAUCCCACUUUCAUGCUUCAUUCAUAUUAAUUUUUAGACUCUCUGAUUAUUUAUACAAUUUGUUGUAAAUUGUAAUUCAUUACUCCAAU